UACGUAGGUGGCAAGCGUUAUCCGGAUUUAUUGGGCGUAAAGCGAGCGCAGGCGGUUUUCUAAGUCUGAUGUGAAAGCCUUCGGCUUAACCGAAGAAGUGCAUCGGAAACUGGAUGACUUGAGUGCAGAAGAGGGCAGUGGAACUCCAUGUGUAGCGGUGGAAUGCGUAGAUAUAUGGAAGAACACCAGUGGCGAAGGCGGCUGCCUGGUCUGUAACUGACGCUGAGGCUCGAAAGCAUGGGUAGCGAAC
rnacentral:rRNA from 2 species